CAAAGUUUUUAAUCUUAUGCAGAUAAAAUCAAAUGCAUCACCAGCUCAUAACCCAAAGCUGUUCAAAGUAUACUGCCAUGAAAAGAGAAAAGCAGUGAACGCCAAUAAUGGAGAAGCUGAAUGCUGUGGCGAAUGUGUUUCCCGCUGAGCAGACAAUCUGGAAAGCCUUCAGAGACCUUGAUCUACCCCAGUGCCUUCUAUUAAAUCUAUUUAUUUUCCACUGUGUUGAGGCGACACAUCCAUUUCUACAAGUUGGUUUUUUAUUUUCACAUUCCAGUCAUCACAGACUGAUAUUCAAUUUUUUUUACUUUUUUUUUUUCAAUUAUUUCUUUGUAAAGAAAAAACAACCUCAUAGUCCUCAAGGUGCUGGACUUUAUGAGUGAUUACUAUAUUGUCAUGUGACCAAAUGAAACGGUACAUUUCAAACUUGUUUAUAACACUUGCAGAGUAACCGAGUGUUUCUUUAAAAAUCUGAAAUCAGUGUUCGGAGUUCACAUCCGACCGGAAUAAUGUUCCGGUCGUUAGCGUGUUAGUCUGGAGGCCCUUCGGAGCCUUGCUGCUUGUUUGUCAGAGUUUGUGUGUGUGUGUGUGUGGCUUCACAAAGGACAAUCUGUCACACGUGUGAGUAAACGGUUUAUGUUUGAUUCGUCAGCCUUUGACGGUGAAAACUUUUUCAUACUUCAGCCAUCUGACACUCGUCACGUGAUGAGUCGGUUCAAUGCGACCGCAUUGUUGUCAAGAAACGCAGCACGUUGAUGAGUUUGUGUCACUCAGCCUCGGCAGGCAGCUUGGGUAAUGUCAAAACCCUUUCACAGUGACCCGGGAAAUAUCCUACUUUAAAAAAAUAUAUAUAUAUUUUACUUUUCUGUUGUGAAGAAAUCCUUGUGUAAGUCGGACAUGAAGAACAGCUGAAAGCCUUGGACGGCUUUCUUGGUUCCAUUUGUACCUCUGACAGUGCUGGAUCAUGAAGACAAACUGUGAUAGAAACAUGACCUUUGUGCUUAAAGAUGAAUUCAUAAUAACCUUCAGCUAUAAGCUACAAAACGCCGUGCUGCAAUAACGGCUGUCUGCUCGAAUGAGCCAAUGCCAUUGUUCAAAAUGGUUGUGAAUACUUUACACAGUGAAGCAUCAACGAGUAUUGAUGCUUUCUUUGUGAAAGUCAGAUGACCACUACAGAUUUCUGUCUCUGAUUUUAUUUUUAGCGUUUUGUAUUUUCUGUGUUAUUGUAAAAUGACGGCCAAAUUACUUGCAGCUGAGAUGAUAUCCCAUUGAUUCGACUGCGGUUUUCUUCCAAGCAAAUUGGAUGAAUUGACUUAAUUAACUGUUUUUGAUUCCAUGAGAAGACAGCAUUUCUAUUUGCAGCCUCGGUGUCUGACGUGUAAUCCAGCAUGUACACACAACAGUCGAAGGGGAAAAGCAAAUGUUAUUCCACGUCCUGUGAAAAGUGAGUUGUGUUUGUUGCACUCAGAAUUGAGUGGACGGAUGAAGUGAUAACUGUCCUGUGAGGAUGAAUCAACAGGUUGAGCACUUUAAGUGACAUAUUUAAACUGGUUCAUGUACAUUGUAUUACUGCCUUUGUUUUUACCAAUCACAGUUGCUUCAUAUAAAAGCUUUUUUUAGGAUGAUUAGACCUCUGCUUAGACUGCAGUGGAAUCAUAUGAUUUCUUUCUUUCUCAGGUACCGUCUUGUUUUUCUUUCUUUCUCUUUUAAGUGUCAUUAAUGAAGAUGUUAUAUUAAGAUGUCUAUUAGUAACCUCCC
ensembl:lncRNA